rnacentral:rRNA from 1 species
UUCCUACGGGGGGCAGCAGUGAGGAAUAUUGGUCAAUGGCCGAGAGGCUGAACCAGCCAAGUCGCGUGAGGGAAGACGGCCCUACGGGUUGUAAACCUCUUUUGUCGGGGAGCAAAGAGAGUCACGUGUGACUCAUUGAGAGUACCCGAAGAAAAAGCAUCGGCUAACUCCGUGCCAGCAGCCGCGGUAAUACGGAGGAUGCGAGCGUUAUCCGGAUUUAUUGGGUUUAAAGGGUGCGUAGGCGGGACGGUAAGUCAGCGGUAAAAAUGCGGAGCUCAACUCCGUCGAGCCGUUGAAACUGCCGU